UACAGAGGGGGCAAGCGUUGUUCGGAAUUACUGGGCGUAAAGGGCGCGUAGGCGGCCUUCUAAGUCAGACGUGAAAUCCCUCGGCUCAACCGGGGAACUGCGUCUGAGACUGGAGGCUUGAAUCCGGGAGAGGGAUGUGGAAUUCCAGGUGUAGCGGUGAAAUGCGUAGAUAUGCGGAGGAACACCGAUGGCGAAGGCAGCCUCCGUGGGAUAACAC
rnacentral:rRNA from 1 species